rnacentral:rRNA from 1 species
GUGAAUCCCUUGGCUCAACCAAGGAAGGGCAUUUGAAACUGUCUGGCUUGAGUACGGGAGGGGGAAGUGGAAUUCCCGGUGUAGAGGUGAAAUUCGUAGAUAUCGGGAGGAACACCGGUGGCGAAGGCGACCAUCUGGACGGAUACUGACGCUGAGACGCGAAAGCGUGGGUAGCAAACAGGAUUAGAUACCCUGGUAGUCCACGCUGUAAACGAUGAGAACUAGGUGUCGCGGGUAUUGACCCCUGCAGUGCCAAGGGCGAAUUCCACAGUGGAU